GAAUUUUGGACAAUGGGCGAAAGCCUGAUCCAGCAAUGCCGCGUGCAGGAUGAAGGCCUUCGGGUUGUAAACUGCUUUUGUACGGAACGAAAAGCUUUGGGUUAAUACCCUGGAGUCAUGACGGUACCGUAAGGAUCAGCACCGGCUAACUACGUGCCAGCAGCCGCGGUAAUACGUAGGGUGCAAGCGUUAAUCGGAAUUACUGGGCGUAAAGCGUGCGCAGGCGGUUUUGUAAGACAGAGGUGAAAUCCCCGGGCUCAACCUGGGAACUGCCUUUGUGACUGCAAGGCUAGAGUACGGCAGAGGGGGGUGGAAUUCCGCGUGUAGCAGUGAAAUGCGUAGAUAUGCGGAGGAACACCGAUGGCGGAGGCAGCCAUCUGGCCUAAUACUGACGCUGAGGUACGAAAGAAUGGGGAGCAAAC
rnacentral:rRNA from 1 species